CCUAUCUUCCUCCCUUCCUAUCCAUUUAUUUUUUCCCCAUCUUUCUCCUUUCCCUUCCAUCUAAUUCCUUCCCUCUUCAUCUUCCUCUUCCUCCCCAUCUUCCUCCUUUCCUCUCCAUCUCCUUCCUUUUCCCCAUCUUCCUCUUUUUUCAUCUCCAUCCCUAUCCUUUUCCACUCCAUCUCCUCCCUUUCAGCACCACCUUUCCCACCCCACACUGCAUUUUCACCUUCUUCCCCCCAAACCCAGGACACCUGGGUUCUGUUAGAGUCUCCUCCCGCCCCAGGUGUGACCACUUUGCACUCCCUUCUCACUCUCCUUUUUAAUCGGCCCAGGAAAAGCACAAUCCUUAAGCUAUGCCCGACUGGGCAGAAGGAUCCUUCUCCUGUUACACUGGGGCUGUAGAAAGAAAAUGAAACUGAAUUGCAGUUUGUGGUUCACUGCUCUUGCAACAUCUCAAGCCCAUGAAGUUUCAGAUGGAUUUAUUGAUACUUUGAAAAUAUGUAAAAAUAAAUAAUCAGCUGUCACUUUC